rnacentral:rRNA from 1 species
UUACCGAGUGCGGGUUCCAACGAGCCCAACCUCCCACCCGUGUUUACCAUGACCGCGUUGCCUCGGCGGGCCCACUGGGGCCCGGCCCCGGUCGCCGGGGGGCUCCUGCCCCCGGGUCCGCGCCCGCCGAAGCGCCCUGGAACCCUGUCUGAAUAGUGAGUCUGAGUGAAUGAUUGAAUCAUUAAAACUUUCAACAACGGAUCUCUUGGUUCCGGCAUCGAUGAAGAACGCAGCGAAAUGCGAUAAGUAAUGUGAAUUGCAGAAUUCCGUGAAUCAUCGAAUCUUUGAACGCACAUUGCGCCCCCUGGCAUUCCGGGGGGCAUGCCUGUCCGAGCGUCAUUUCUGCCCUCCAGCCCGGCUGGGUGUUGGGCGCUGUCCCCCCGGGGACACGCCCCAAAGGCAGUGGCGGCGCCGCGUCGGGUCCUCGAGCGUAUGGGGCUUUGUCACCCGCUCGGGAAGGACUCGUCGGCGCUGGUCUUCCUCCAGGCGACCCUUCGGGGCUCGUCUUCCUUCGGUUGACCUCGGAUCAGGUAGGGUUACCCGCUGAACUUAAGCAUAUCAAUAAGCGGAGGAAAAGAAACCAACAGGGAUUGCCUCAGUAACGGCGAGUGAAGCGGCAAGAGCUCAAAUUUGAAAUCUGGCUCCUUCGGGGCCCGAGUUGUAAUUUGGAGAGGAUGCUUCGGGCGUGGCCCCCAUCUAAGUGCCCUGGA